UACGAAGGGGGCUAGCGUUGUUCGGAAUUACUGGGCGUAAAGCGUACGUAGGCGGAUUGUUAAGUGAGGGGGGAAAUCCCGAGGCUCAACCUCGGAACUGCCUUUCAUACUGGCAAUCUUGAGUCCGGGAGAGGUGAGUGGAACUCCUAGUGUAGAGGUGAAAUUCGUAGAUAUUAGGAAGAACACCAGUGGCGAAGGCGGCUCACUGGCCCGGAACUGACGCUGAGGUACGAAAGCGUGGGGAGCAAACAGG
rnacentral:rRNA from 1 species